GACGAACGCUGGCGGCGUGCUUAACACAUGCAAGUCGAACGAAGUGGAGAACGGGUGAGUAACGCGUAAUCAACCUGCCCUUCAGAGGGGGACAACAGUUGGAAACGACUGCUAAUACCGCAUACUGAAGGAGGGGAUUGCGUCGGAUUAGCUAGUUGGAGGGGGAACGGCCCACCAAGGCGAUGAUCAGUAGCCUGUCUGAGAGGAUGUACGGCCACAUUGGGACUGAGACCCGGCCCAGACUCCUACGGGAGGCAGCAGUGGGGAAUCUUCCGCAAUGGACGAAAGUCUGACGGAGCAACGCCGCGUGAGUUAUGACGGCCUUCUGGUUGUAAAGCUCUGUUAUUCGGAACGCGUUACCGGCCUAGAAAGCCACGGCUAACUACGUACCAGCAGCCGCGGUAAUUC
rnacentral:rRNA from 1 species